CAGAGAGAGAACCAAGAAGAGAAGGACUGCUGCUGCUGCUGUUGCAGAGAUGCAAGAUCUGGAAUACAGUAAAAAUCUUACCUUUCAAACCAAUCUUUCAGCAAGAAAGAAACAAGAAUCAAUAGUAAGAUCAAGCUACCAACCAAUCACCACUUUCUGAUCUCGGUCAGCCCAUCACUACUUUAAUAAGAUCUCAAUUGCCGAAGCCAAAGGGGAAAUGAUAAUUGAUAAGUAACUGGUUGAAUAGGCCAGUGUGUCGAAGAGAUUUAGAAGAGUAUCAGCCAGUGACCCAAAGAAAGCCUCACUGCUGCUGAUGUAAAAAGGGACAAGGAGAAUGUGAAUACAUGUUUCCCUUGAAAGAAAGCUGGUUCAGUGAAUAGAAGAAAAAUUAUCACCCAACAGAGCUAUCAGAACUAGAGAAAAUACCUGAAUAUUGAAUAAGGUUAGACUGCUGCGGAAGAGUGAGAUGUGAUCGUACAAAUCAAGUUCCCUCUCAAGUCCCAACAGGAUCUCUUUGCUAAGCAGUCCAACAAACAAUCAAACAAGUGCGCCGAUCAUGACACUUGUGCUGAAUCUGUGCAAUCAGUGUGUGCAAAUAAGGUAUUACUUAAGAAAGGUCAAGAUGAGGAGGAUGAAAUAUGUAAACUGUUAAUUAGAGGGCACAGUUGAGCUUACCAGAGAGUGAAGAGAGUGGAUGCAGAAGCUGAGUGAAGCACAAGCAGAAUUUUGCAAACUGAACGAAUGCAUAAACAGAGGAAAUCAUUGAAAGCUAAAGAGCAGCUCCUACUGAAGCAUCACCUUCUUCCCUGCGAAAGUUAAGAAGCACCAUCUUCUUGUAUCUCAUGAAUAGUGGCUGGGAGGUUGCAUAAACUAUGUAUAACUAGUUAGACAGUCUACAAGUCUCCAUUAUUCAUUAAUCAUCCGGAACAGCAUGCAGGCAAGACUAGUUAGCAGUCUCAUCUUUUUAUCUGCUUUAGAGUUGUCUCCACUGACCAUCUAGGCAACUUGUACAAUUAAAAAUAAAUCCUGGGAUAAACUAAUUGAUGUAAUUUGAAUAUGUAAAUGAGGACAAAAAUCCA